UCCGACGCGUUUGUAAUCUUCCUCUGGAUGUGGAUGGCCGUGAGAUGUGGGCAUAUGUCAGCGGUGCUGGUGUCGGGAUCAGGCCCGAGAUUAAAGCGGGAACUGCGGCCUGCGUGGCGAUGUGAGGGGCAUAGUAAUGCGGACCCGUGGUGUCCGGGACUGCGGCAUGUGUGGUGGGUCAUCUCCGGCUUCUCUUCCCCGUCACCCGCUCUGGGUACAAGGGCACGCAGGCUGUGUAGGGUUUCACUGCUCAGCCCGAGUCUGAGGUGCAUAACAUCGUUAUUAGAAACCCAAUUACCUGGAAUGAACUUUAUGGACGGUUGAUUUCCUGUGGAAUGGAGUCCUAAGUACUUCUUCUUUAGUGAUUCAAUGGUGCAACUGAACUCGAAUUGAAUGACAUCACAGUGACCUGUCAAAAAUAUAUGAGUCGACAGCAAUGCUGGAGCAAUUUGCUGCAUGAGCUUCUGUGAAGGUGAGUGUGGUAUGUUUAGGGACACCUCUGACCAGGUGAGCUUCCUCGGACCUAAAGGUGGAGUGCUGAAGCUGGAACAUUAUUAUUAUUAUUAUUAUUAUUACUAUAUAAAAGCACAGAAAAAGUUAAGUAAAUGGACAUUAUUGUUUCGUAAAAUUUAAUGACAUCUAAAACAGAGACGGGUGGCCCACCACAUUCUUGUAAAGUAAUUGAACUUGCAUGUGAAAGUGAAACUUUUAUGUCUUUCACGUUGAAAUAUGAAAAGUGUCUGUAAAGCCAUACAGUGACACGGAGCUGUGGCUCAAGUGCAGCUCAUCAGCUUGCAGAUUUAGAACCAUGUGACCUCGGAAGGUGAAAUCCUCAUUCUGAGCCUGCAGUCGCUCCUCAGCAUACCUCGUGCACGAGCACAGAGUAUUUGAUGAGUUGAUGAGAGCCAAUUCUGAUUAUUAUAUAUAGAAUAUUUACAAUAUAACCACUACAACUGAGUUAUUUAAAUGCAGUCACAAGAGCCAUGUUGCAGGUUUUAAGUGCUCCCUUGGGUUAGGUUGACACUUUGACUUGGCUCCAUGUUUUCCUCAGUGGAUCAACAGAGCCUCAUUCAAAUGUCUGUGGAAUUGCUGAUAUACAUUUGGCAUUUUGUGGGAGGAAAGUGGGGGACUGAGGUGAACUAACCCCGUAUAAUAUUGGCUCAAAUUUAGUGCACAAAUAACCUUGAGAGUUUCCAAGGUCCAGCCUUUUCCCUCUGACAGAGUUCACCAUUAAAGUGGAAACGUCCAAAAACCUGAAGCAGGUGGAAGCGAAUCAAAGAAAGGUGGAAAAGAGAAGCGUUUGUUGCAUGAAUGCGCAGAGUUGGAGGUGAACUAUUGGGCUAAAAUGAGCCCCAUAUAAUCUAAAUGGAGUGACAUAAUCGUAAGUCAUAGUCUGGUCUCCUAGACUGUAAUCACUAAUCACCUUUCUCUUUGAAUUCAUGUACUUGCAAUAGAAGUCUAGGUUCAGAAUCUGAAGCUUAAUGAAGUGGAACAAAAUUUUAAUUUUAAAAUUGUACUUUUGAUAAAAUAUAACAAACAUCUAAUUGAUUCUAUUAACCACUGUAAACGUAAGAUUAUUGUCCACAUUAUCAAAAAAAAAAAUCUUCAAUCCUGUUGUGUUUUAUAUGUGGAUUGUCUCUAUACACUCCACUUUCCUCCUACCGUGUCCCCAGGCUCUGGCAGUGGUUAACCUGCGCACCCAGGAGCCAUACUUGUUUGGUAGACGAUGACUGAAGUUCACACCAGAGAAACACCUUUUUCAAGAUGAUUCAUGAUGUGGGAAGCAACUUCCAAAUGGCCUUAACAGCCUGUUCGAAGGGUUUAAGACGGCUUUAUUUUAGUAUGAUUUUGACAAGUUACCUCAAAUUUGAAUCCCUAUCACACCAAAGCCUGCAGGAUUCACAAGACUCUGAGAGCUGGAAGAGUCGGAUCAUGGAAUGCUACGACCAUUCACCCGACUUUGGCUUGGAUUGUCCUGGAAUAGAACUGAAUACAUACGACUCAUCCAGAGGCUUUUAAUAGUUCCUGUCGUGUAUAAUGGUCCUGCGUUGCUGUUGUCUCUGUGAGCGGCUGCAUGCCUCCUGCAGCUUCCAGAAAUAGAAAGCAGGGCAAACUGUUGACAGAGUGGAGCCCACGCUGUCCUCAGGCUGUAGGUUCAUUCACAUGAAAUUGUAAGUAACGCAUGAGGGAGGCUUUCUUUGUGUCAUACGAGAGCUCUCCACUUUUUUUGUUGAGAUGACCCUGGCAUUUAUUGAAUGGUGUUUCGAUCAGGCCUAUUGGAAAGGAUUGCAUUUUUGCAGAUGGGCGACAAGCCCCGCCAACACGUGCGCCCUCCCGUAUUCCGCCUCUAAUCUCCUGAAGCCUGACCUCUUGAUUCUUUGCUCCAAUUAGCGAGCUGCCACGGCCCUCCUUAUGACGUGUGCAAUCUGCCUCGGAAACACACCAAUAGACCCACGUUUGGAUUGAUGUCUUUUAAAACUUCACUAGGAACGUUUUGCUUCUUCAGCUUGCGUGUUCAGGCGGUUGUUUUUCUACGUGACAAUGCUCAAUCGGCUGUGAGUGGCGCAUCUGUUUGGGCUAGAUAAUGAGUGGUUGUCAUGGCUGUGAGGCUGCCAGUGGCCCCUCGAGAGAUAGUGAAGUUUCAGCAAAGGUGGUUUACUUGACUCAGCCAGACGGGGGCGUCAUUGGGCAAAAGGCCGGAUGAGAUGAGGUCGACUUACUGCUUGUGAGGUGAAGUGAUAUUUAAAAGUCGCUCUUCCCAAAUGAUAAACAAUAGUUACUCAGAACACCUUUAUAAUACUGGUCUCAUCUUCCAUUUCCUCCUGUCUUUAACUCCAUCCCACAGAACAGGUUUUUUUUUUUGCCAUGUAUAUUUAUAAAGUUGAAAGGAUUGACUUGAAAUUCUACUGACCUUGUUUAAUUCUUUCAAUUUCAUGGUCUAAUGUUUCAAUGAAGCUCUGACUCAAUAUACUUUUUUAUAAUCCAUAAAAUAAUGGCUAGAGGCGAACAUACGCCUUAAUAAAAUGUUGGCAUUGGUUUGUGAAAAGGAAGUAUAAAGAACACAGUAGUUAAAAUAAUUGAAUAAUGCACCAUAAAACUGAAGAUGACAAACUAUACUCAUAAAAAAAGAAAAGGAAAUGCAUUGAUAAAUAUCUAUAACGGCACUGUGUGAUGAUUAUAUUUUUGUUUAUCCAAAUUGAUGCCAUGAGAUGAAGACAAUAUAUACUGCGUGUUGUGUAGUAAUUAAAAGUGUAGUAAUGACGAAUUUUCAUCUUCUUUUUUUUUCAGGACUUGGACAGAUUUACAUUUAGUUGUGUUUGGGUGAUGCACAUGUGACAUGAGUAGAUGACUUCAUCUCAUCCAUUACCUAUCAUUGUGCAGAUGUACAGGACUUGCGACUUGUGCUGCUAUAGUACUACCUGAAGUACUUUAUAAAUUAUUUUCUCAGAUGCAAAAUUAGUUAAAAAUCUUAAUCUCCAAGCCAAAGCAGAGCUACCAGUUAGUGAAUUUUUUACUCCUUCUGUCUGCACAUUUCCUGUGUCAACCUUCAGUUUUGUCGUCCAUUGUUGGUCCUGAGUGUUGUUUUAGCUGGCUGAUUUGUGGUGAGAUCUCCGCUCUCACUGCUUCACUGUAGUCCGAACUCAUGGCAAGACUAAUUGGGAAGUACAAGCUAGUCCUAUUUUGUUCUUGAGGCAAAAAAAGCCUUGAGACCAUUGACUUCCAUCCUCUGUUGAAUCACGCAGAACCAUAUGGUUGAAUGAAAUUGUAUUACCAUUUUUCACCAUUUCGAGUGUUGCUUAUAAGUGUAGGGCUAUUUAUUUUUAGAACAUUUUUUUUACUACUCCAAGUGGAGGUUUAAUAUGUUAUCAUUCAGCUCUCGUACUGUGCAAACACAAGUCACUUCGCAGGUAGUGAUGAGCUGAAGAGUGUCUCUUCAUCGCCCAAUAGAUGGUGCUGUCUGUUCAGUAUUUGUGUGGUUUGACUGCUUAUUUCAAGGCGCAUUCAAUACACAAGCUCCUGGUUUUCAAUUUUCUUCAAUAUCAGACUUGUCCCGUUGCUACAGACAUGCUGAGACUGUGUAUUUACUAUUUUUUAUGUGUGUUAUUUCUCUCCUGCCGCUGCCUCAUUGGCACCACAGAGCAGUUAGUGUUGAACACCAUUAGGCAGGAGGCUUCUGAACUACAAGACCCAAACCUGGGUGCCAGUGCUACCAUGUGUGCCCGCCUCGCGGACAGGUUUGACAAAAAUUCGCCUCUCUCUCAUCAAUCCAACGGUGCAGGACCUGCUUGCUCGUCCAGCGGUUACCGCAAGGCAGAUGAUGAGAUGUCCGGCACCACUUCCCAGGCGGAUCCCAUAGACGCCACUGCCAGGACGGUGCUGCUCAACAGGCCACAGAACACCAAGUUCUGCGACAACCAUGUCAGUACUACCAAGUAUGGCGUCUUCAGCUUCCUGCCCCGUUUCCUGUAUGAGCAGAUCAGACGGGCAGCCAAUGCCUUCUUCCUCUUCAUCGCACUCAUGCAGCAAAUCCCCGAUGUGUCACCCACCGGUCGCUAUACCACGCUGGUCCCUCUCAUUUUCAUCCUCACUGUGGCCGGGAUCAAAGAAAUCAUUGAGGACUAUAAACGACACAAAGCAGACAACACUGUCAACAAGAAGAAGACAACAGUGCUUCGCAACGGAGCCUGGCAGACCAUCAUCUGGAAACAGGUGGCAGUAGGUGAUUUUGUGAAGGUGACCAAUGGCCAGCACCUGCCUGCGGACAUGGUCAUCGUGUCCUCCAGCGAACCACAGGCCAUGUGUUACACGGAGACCUCAAACCUUGAUGGCGAAACUAACCUGAAGAUCCGACAGGGCCUCUCACUGACCGCCAGCUUUCAGACACUGGAGGAUUUAACCGGCCUCUCUGGGCGUUUAGAGUGUGAAGGUCCUAACAGGCACCUCUACGACUUCACUGGCACAUUACGGCUGGAAAACCUCAACCCUGCUCCUCUGGGUCCGGACCAGGUGCUGCUGCGUGGAGCCCAGCUCAGGAACACACAGUGGGUUGUCGGAAUCGUUGUCUACACUGGUCAUGACUCGAAACUCAUGCAGAACUCCACUAAAGCCCCACUGAAACGCUCUAAUGUGGAGCGAGUCACCAAUAUGCAGAUCUUGGUUCUGUUUUGCAUCCUGCUGGUCAUGGCCCUGGUGAGUUCUGUGGGCGCGGCCAUCUGGAACAGACAGCAUACUGAAGACGCCUGCUGGUAUUUGUCCCGAGCGGGCGACAUCUCCACUAACUUUGCUUACAACUUGCUGACCUUUAUCAUCCUUUACAAUAACCUGAUCCCCAUCAGCCUGCUGGUCACACUGGAGGUGGUCAAGUUCACACAGGCCCUUUUUAUCAACUGGGACGUGGAGAUGUAUUACUCUGAGACUGACACACCAGCAAUGGCCCGAACAUCCAAUCUCAACGAAGAAUUGGGACAGGUGAAAUAUCUUUUCUCAGACAAGACAGGAACGCUCACCUGUAACGUCAUGCACUUUAAGAAAUGUACCAUCGCUGGAAUUACUUAUGGCCACUUUCCUGAUCUUGACUGUGAUCGUUCAAUGGAGGACUUCAGCAAUUUACCGUCCAGCAGCAACAAUUCAACGGAGUUUGACGACCCGGCUCUGAGCCAGAACAUUGAAAAAAACCAUCCUACCUCGCCCCAGAUCUGUGAGUUCCUGACAAUGAUGGCAGUUUGCCACACGGUUGUGCCAGAGAGAGAAGCAAACCAAAUAAUCUACCAGGCGUCCUCACCUGACGAAGGAGCUCUGGUCAAAGGAGCAAAAGGACUUGGAUUUGUCUUCAGCGCAAGGACUCCACAUUCAGUUAUCAUUGAAGCUAGAGGUAAAGAGCUGAGCUAUGAGCUUCUAAACGUGCUGGAGUUUUCCAGUAACCGCAAGCGCAUGUCCGUGGUAGUGCGGACUCCCAACGGGAGGCUCAGGCUGUACUGCAAAGGAGCGGAUAACGUCAUUUUUGAGCGUUUGAAUGAAACAUCUCAGUAUAAAGAUUUAACCAUUGCUCAUCUGGAACAGUUUGCAACUGAAGGUCUCAGGACUCUGUGUUUUGCGUAUGUUGACCUAGAGGAAGGUGCCUACCAGGAGUGGCUCAAAGAGUACAACCGGGUCAGCACGGUGCUGAAGGAUCGUGCUCAGAAACUGGAGGAGUGUUAUGAGCUUCUGGAGAAGAACCUAAUGCUCCUGGGCGCUACUGCCAUAGAAGACCGUCUCCAGGCUGGCGUCCCAGAAACCAUCGCCACGUUGAUGAGGGCUGAUAUCAAAAUCUGGGUGCUCACUGGAGACAAGCAGGAAACGGCAAUCAACAUAGGUUACUCCUGUCGCCUGGUGACACACGGCAUGUCUCUCAUCAUUGUCAACGAGGACUCUCUGGAUGCCACGCGCUCCACUCUGACGACCCACUGCUCCUCUCUGGGCGACUCGCUAAGGAAGGAGAACGAGCUCGCGCUCAUCAUUGAUGGCCAGACCCUGAAGUACGCUCUCUCCUUCGAGCUCCGCCAGGCUUUCCUGGACCUGGCCUUGUCCUGCAAGGCGGUCAUCUGUUGCCGAGUGUCUCCACUGCAGAAGUCGGAGAUUGUGGAUAUGGUUAAGAAGCAUGUGAAAGCUAUCACGCUGGCCAUCGGGGACGGAGCCAAUGAUGUGGGGAUGAUCCAGACGGCGCAUGUUGGAGUGGGGAUCAGUGGCAACGAAGGGAUGCAGGCCACAAACUCCUCUGACUACUCGAUAGCUCAGUUCUCCUAUCUGGAGAAGCUGCUGCUGGUUCACGGAGCUUGGAGCUACAACCGUGUCACUAAGUGUAUCCUCUACUGCUUCUACAAGAAUGUGGUGCUCUACAUCAUCGAGCUCUGGUUCGCCUUUGUCAACGGCUUCUCCGGCCAGAUUCUCUUUGAACGCUGGUGCAUCGGCCUCUACAACGUGAUAUUUACAGCACUGCCUCCAUUCACUCUGGGGAUCUUCGAUCGGCCGUGCAGCCAGCAGAACAUGCUUCGUUUCCCUCAGCUCUACCGUAUCACCCAGAAUGCAGAGGGCUUCAACACAAGGGUGUUCUGGGGUCACUGCAUCAACGCACUGAUUCAUUCAAUUAUUCUCUUUUGGUUUCCACUGAAAAUGUUGGAGCACGAUUCUCCCUUCAGCAAUGGCCAGGGUAACGAUUACCUGUUUGUGGGGAACAUGGUUUACACGUAUGUGGUGGUUACAGUGUGUCUGAAAGCUGGAAUGGAGACGACCGCCUGGACCAGGUUUUCCCACCUGGCGGUGUGGGGAAGCAUGAUCCUGUGGAUGGUCUUCUUCGCAGUCUACUCGGCCAUAUGGCCCACCUUCCCCAUCGCCCCUGACAUGUUGGGCCAGGCUGGCAGGGUGAUGCAGUGCUGGCACUUCUGGCUGGGACUGGUCCUGGUACCGACUGCGUGUUUACUCAAAGACUUUGCCUGGGCCUGCACUCGACGGACUGUGAGAAAGUCUCUGCUGGAAGAGGUGCAGGAAUUGGAGGCCAGAGCUGUGGACCCAGGUGCAGCCGUGCUGAGGGACGCCAGCGGGCGCAGGUGGACCAAUUUGACCUGCUGCACGAAACUGUCUGAACGAACGUGCCCAUCUGCUGACAAGAGUCUUUAGGAAAACACCUUCGAGCGUCGGACGUUCAAACUCUGUGCAGCAGACCGUCUCACAUGGCUACGCCUUCUCUCAGGAGGAGCACGGCGUGGUGUCCCAGUCCCAGGUAGUUCGAUCCUACGACACCACCCGCCAGCAGCGCCCCAGCCUCUAGACCUGACCCCUGACCCCGGCUUUGGCUCGCCAAAGCGACGUUCGUCAAGCGAACAGCGGAGACAGACUUACCCGACGCCCUCGUGCCGGGUGAGAGAUACCCCGCUGUGGCCUUACUGGAACUCUGACCCGACCCCGCGCCGCCCGUGGCCAGGCACGGAAGCCGUCGCUGGACUUGGAACUUAAAAGGAAGGGACCAGACUGGAAUUUGACUUGGUUUCCACAAGAGCUGCACAGGCAUGAGUCAUCGCGCACAAGCAUGACGAGUGGAACUCAGAGACUGCUGCUCAUAUCCAUAUACUCCACAGCCUGGGUUUACUUCAUCGUGCUACUGUGUGUGUGUGUGUGUGUGUGUGUGUGUGUGUGUGUGUGUGUGUGUGUGUGUGUGUGUGUGUGUGUGUGUGUGUGUGUGUGUGUGUGUGUGUGUGUGUGUGUGUGUGUGUGUGUGUGUGUGUGUGUGUGUGUGUGUGUGUGUGUGUGUGUGUGUGUGUGUGUGUGUGUUGGCCUGUGCAUGUAUGUCUGCACGCAUUGGCGCUCCGGUGUUUGUAUGCAUGUGUGUACCGGUCCAUAAGUGUGUGUGUGAUAGCUUUGAGGUGUCAGUCAUCACCUGCGGCUGAACCUCGGCCAAAUAAACACAGUCACAGGUGCAGCUGAAUCCCCUCAACAUGGAGGCAGAGUGACAGGAGCUGGUCGUGACCGGGCCCCCAGCCUGCACCAGGACCUGCUUCCCCUCUUUCUUAUCUGCUCCCGUCUAUCUCUCCAUCUGUUAGCCGCCUCGUCUCUGCUGCUCAUCCCUGUCUUUAGAAAUCAACUUGGCUGUCUGUGACCCGCCCGUCUGGUACCGUCAGCUGACUCAGCAGUUCCUCGGCAGCAUUUUACACGCUUUUUUUUUUUCUUUUUAUUAUUGUUAAAGUGGUCACGUAUCCAAUUUUUUGUUUUCUCCUUUCAUUCAUGUUUUUGUACUCCUUUUAACAAGACUUGAAGUAGCUCUAAUGCUCCUCCAGAUACACCACGGACGGAGACGGUACUGUGCGGCUUUCUGCCUCUGGAAUUUGUCUGAAUGUAGAGUCUGUUGUCUGUGUCUCCAUGUUGAGGAAUGCAAGACUGAGGGGAGGAUGAACGAGUGUCUAUCCCAGUCCUAAUCAUUAAACUUAAUCAAUCCAUGACUCGGUGUCUUCACUGUAAGAGUAGCUGCGGAAGAGGUUCAAUUUGAGAGCUCUGAAUAGAUCUGCCUGAAAUUUAAACAUGAGUGGAGAGUCGCCGGAGAUGUCUUCCCCACCUGGAGGUGUCCCAGCUGAACUGACUGCAGCUGCUCUAAUGUGCAGAAUCCAUCAGGUUGAACACCACCAAAGAGCCAUUUAAGCCUUUCAGCACCUCCCGAAAGACCUGCCCUGCUUUCCGCCUCGGCCAAGUUUCAGGAAAAGCUGCCAGAAAACGCUCCUCCGCGAGCUCAGAGGCAUCGUCAUGGUUUUAUGCCGCGCAUUGUUGUGGUUUCUUGUCUGUAGCGUGUGAGCUGCUGAUGCGACGGCGGUUUCUGUCCGCGGUGGGUGGCAGCUCUGUCUGUCAAUGUGUGUGUAAUUGGUGUUUCUCAAAGCUUAAGUGUGUGUGUGUGUCAGCGGGAUUAUCAAUCUCAGACGGUGGAAACUCAUUUAUCACACAGAUGUGUCUUCUGCAAACAUCUCUUUGACAAAUAUUGCUCAUCUACAGGCGCCAUGCUCCAAAAAUGUUUUAAUCUAUUUAACACACCAGAAGAAGAACCAGUCCAGUUUUUCCAAAAAUAAUUCAAGAACUGAAAUGCUAUUAUAAGUACAAACAAGUAGCUAGUUCUGUAUUCAGUUUGGUCUCGCCUCAGUUCCAGGCCUUCAAAGUCUGUCUUGCACGUUGGUCUCUGUAUGUUCUGGUCUCUGUCUCAGCUACAACACUCACAUCAUGUUCCUCCAG